GCCUAGAGGAUGGCCACAUUAAAGCUUAAAAAAAAACUCCCUGACAUGUAAAUCAGCCCGUCCCAUCCGAUAAUAGAACACCAAGCCUUAGUUCUCAGAAGGCGAGGCUGAGGCAUCUUCAUUCACGAUUCAGAUGACCAUGGCCUGGACGUGCUGGUCUUUUUGGACCAUCUCUCCCACCGCUCACCCAUUGGAGGCCCCCAGAGCCGGAAGGUAGGUCUUCUCACGAUCCCCAGUGAGCCUGGAGCUGUCCUCACCACGCCAGCAAGAACGUCCUCUAUUUCAGGCAUGGUACUCACAUCCCGUGGAUGGCUUUUCUGGAAACUCCUGGGCUAAACCAUCCUCCUUGGGCUCCCUUUAUCUCAGACUCUCUGCCACUCUGAGUGGAUUCAGUGCUAUUGGUCUCAGAUGGGGCCCUUUGGUUUAACAGGACUGAUCUUGUUUUUGUGGGGGGAGCAUGUGUUGUUGUUACUGAACUCGAGGGGUUCGAAGCUUGGUAUGUUCUAUUCAAGUCGCUUUAUUUACUUGCAUCAGUAAAAGAGACAGGGAUUCACGUCCAAAGUUUUACCUCCCUGAAGGGAGGCUUAGCCAUUGCUUAUACACACCAUUUGGUCAGUUACACAUUGAUUUCUUCUUUGCAGUUGCCUACACUUACCUGGUUGGGUUCCUAUUGAGCUCCUUCUGUUUACAGUUGGCCUACAAAAUACUGUGCUAUAUUUUAACAUUUAGCAAGAAUAGAAUUUAGUAAGAACCACCCAGACCUUGAGACCUUUGUCCUAUCUAACAUUUUUGUGGGGUUAUGUGUUUAGCAUCACUUCCUCUGCAGAACCAACACUUCAUUCCAUAGUAAUCUGUGCAUCUGGGGCAAGGCUGGCCCUGAUUCCUGGCCCAUGGACAGCAUGUGACUCAGGCCUGGCCCCAUUUGGAGUGCUCUACACCUCCCCACCCUACGAUGAUAGACACAGAGGUGGACACGGGACCCUUCCAAGCCAGCUGGUCUCCCCAGGCCUUUCCCAGAGCCAAUGGGAGAGAUGCUCUCCCCUGGACCCAGGUUUCAUGGACCAGGAAGACCUGUUGCUGAUGGAGAUCAUUUUUACUUGAGAACAAAAUCAAGACAACCAACAUCAAGAGAUGCAGAGAAGGAGGGAACGCGUCCUGACCAUCUCAGUAGGCUCCCUGGACUCAAGCGUGACUACGGCAAGACACGCGCCAUGAAUUGAUUUUCCUCUAAGGGAACCCAUGAAUGGCCUGUUGGGUGAGGCUGGUUUGAGAGGGGUUUCUGGCACUCACAGCCAGGAGUCCCAGCUAAUUCAACUGGGAUUAAAAACCAAAACCAAGGAUUAUCAGAAGGGUACUGGUUGAAGGAAGAACAACACAUUCAGACUCCAGGAAGGAGGGGACCAGCCAGCAUCGGGCUUCUUGGACCAGGAAGCCAUGCAGUCCAUCCAGGUGCUGGUUCCAGGGGGCAAACACUCCAUCCGACUGGCCCAGCUUGGGUCCAUGCCUGACCUGCAGGGGCGAGGUGUCUGAGGGUGAAGAGGAGGCUAAGCAGUGGCACAUCCAGAUGCCCUCCAUAGUGUGGACCAUACAAAAGUCACUUUCUCUCCCAGUGGAUGCCUGUACCCUCAAGGGCUUUCGCUCCAAGGCUCGGCAGCGGGGCUGCCCUGUGGUGGCAGGAAUGUGGGGUUUGAAGAAGUUCAGGGUGAAUGCAGCUCCCUCCGUCCUUACUUGGGCCUGGGUUUGUCCUUUCACCUGGGGCUUUUCCCACUGACAACUGAGACCAUAACAGUGCUGCCUGCUCAGAGCUCCCGGGGCAACCGAGUGCGAUCAGGGCUCAGCGAGCCCAUUGCAAAUUAUGUGUAUGCCUCUUUGUUAAAAGUACCCAUUUCCGCACCAGACUUAUAAGGGUGGUCGCUUUGUAAUUACAUAAAUGUCUAAUCACUAUGUUGUACACAGGAAUCAAAUAUAAUAUUGCAUCUCAACGAUAAUUGAAAAAUUAAAAAAAAUUAUUAAGAAAGUACCCAUUUCCAUCCGAACUGCAGGCAUGCUCGCUAUGAACAUCUGUCUUCCUCUCAUUUCAUAGUGGCUGCGGGGCCACACCCGGUAAGGCUAACUUGCCACACAAAGAUGUC